rnacentral:rRNA from 1 species
AGUGAACGCUGGCGGUAGGCCUAACACAUGCAAGUCGAACGGCAGCACAGUAAGAGCUUGCUCUUACGGGUGGCGAGUGGCGGACGGGUGAGGAAUACAUCGGAAUCUACUUUUUCGUGGGGGAUAACGUAGGGAAACUUACGCUGAUACCGCAUACGACCUACGGGUGAAAGCAGGGGAUCUUCGGACCUUGCGCGAUUGAAUGAGCCGAUGUCGGAUUAGCUAGUUGGCGGGGUAAAGGCCCACCAAGGCGACGAUCCGUAGCUGGUCUGAGAGGAUGAUCAGCCACACUGGAACUGAGACACGGUCCAGACUCCUACGGGAGGCAGCAGUGGGGAAUAUUGGACAAUGGGCGCAAGCCUGAUCCAGCCAUACCGCGUGGGUGAAGAAGGCCUUCGGGUUGUAAAGCCCUUUUGUUGGGAAAGAAAAGCAGCAGGUUAAUACCCCGCUGUUCUGACGGUACCCAAAGAAUAAGCACCGGCUAACUUCGU